CCUACGGGAGGCAGCAGUGAGGAAUAUUGGUCAAUGGACGAGCGUCUUAACCAGCCAAGUAGCGUGAAGGAUGCCUGCCCUAUGGGUUGUAAACUUCUUUUAUCUGGGAAUAAAAUGUUCCACGUGUGGGGUUUUGUAUGUACCAUAUGAAUAAGGAUCGGCUAACUCCGUGCCAGCAGCCGCGGUAAUACGGGGGAUACGAGCGUUAUCCGGAUUUAUUGGGUUUAAAGGGAGCGUAGGUGGAUUGUUAAGUCGGUUGUGAAAAUUUGCGGCUCAACCGUAAAAUUGCAGUUGAAACUGGCAGUCGUGAGUACAGUAGAGGUGGGCGGAAUUCGUGGUGUAGCGGUGAAAUGCUUAGAUAUCACGAAGAACUCCGAUUGCGAAGGCAGCUCACUGGACUGCAACUGACACUGAGGCUCGAAAGUGUGGGUAUCAAACAGGAUUAGAUACCCAAGUAGUC
rnacentral:rRNA from 1 species